rnacentral:rRNA from 1 species
UACGGGGGGAGCAAGCGUUGUUCGGAUUUACUGGGCGUAAAGGGCGCGUAGGCGGUCAGCACAAGUCAGUUGUGAAAUCUCCGGGCUUAACUCGGAAAGGUCAACUGAUACUGUGCGACUAGAGUGCAGAAGGGGCAACUGGAAUUCUCGGUGUAGCGGUGAAAUGCGUAGAUAUCGAGAGGAACACCUGCGGCGAAGGCGAGUCUCUGGACAUUUCCUGACGCUGAGGCACGAAAGCCAGGGGAGCAAACGGG